AAGAAACGCGGCACCACGUAUAGUACUUCGCGUUUUCAGCUCCCUCCCCAAAAUUUCACUUCCCUCUCCAAAUUUCACUUCCCCCCUUCCGCAUUUUCAACUUCCCUCUUCAAUUGAAACCCUACCCAAUUAGAGAAAAGAUGUUCCAUUCACUAUAUUUCCAGUGUUUAGUUGUAAUAGAAAAAAAAAAAAAAAGAAUCUAGAGUUGAAAACAGAUUCGAUCUGUUUCGACUCGGUGGAGGAGGCGGCUACUAUUUGAGUGGGUUAAACUCGGAGUGAGGUUACUUGGUGUGAGAGAUACUCUGGGUUGACGGAUUCUGGGAAGAAUUUCAGUACAAGCUGUUGUAAGCAGUGGUGUUGGUGAUUUUAUGUCGUCGUCGUAUGUGGGUUGUGCGUAAAAUCCCUUGCUUGGUGUUGAGAUCUACCAGUAAUAUUACCAGGAUGAGUUUUGAAUUUUGAUUCCGUCAAGAGGAAUGAUGUCACUGGGCACACCCUUCUACCGUGACUACUGGAGGAGAAUCCAUGGAAGAGGGGCUACUAGCUCUACCAGGGUCAAAGUCCAAUAUCAAUGGAGCUUCAGGUGUUGUGGUUCUUACUGAGCUCUCCAUGAUGCAGUGCCAUUAAGAUGUUUAAUGCUCAAAAUGAAGAAGGAAUAGUAAAGCAAUUCAUCGGGAAGUGGUUAAGGUGAUGGGAGGUUCCAGUUCAAUCUUCUUGCAAGGGAAGGAGAGGGCUGGAAAUUCUGAGACAUGUCUAAAGCUAGGAAGUGACAUUAUUUUGACUGAAAAGGUUCAACCCUGCGGUGGUAUUUGGAGUGACAACUGCUCUUUGAAAAUGGGAAGAAGACACCUCUUCAUACUUGCAGGAUCUCUCAUUGUCUCUGUUGCCAUAAGUCAAUCGUUGCAAUUUAUUUUCAUUUUAUUUUGAAUCAAUUAAUGCUUGCAUUUUUAUUUGCUAAACUAACUGUUGUAAUUUAGGUGGUAUUAAUCAAAUUUUCUGCAGGCAUUGGAUACUUAUUAGGAGAUCCACACGAGCAUUGCAGACUGAGGUGGGUGAAUUAUCUGAGGCCAGACCUUAAGAAGGGGUAGAUAACUCAUGAAGAGAGCAUAAUUCUAGAGCUGCAUGCUAGGUGGGGGAACAGAUGGGAUCAGCUUGAUGCAUGAAUAUGAGGAUCAAAAGUUUGGGGUGGAUGAGCAAAAGCUUGGAAUUAGCAUGAAAUUGGCAUGAAUUUGAGUUAAGAGUAGCUUCGCUUGGCCAAUGAGGACCUUGAUCACUGUGGUAUAGAAGUGAGGCUUGAAGGAGCAUCAAUAAUUGAAAACUGGAAAACAAAGCUCCAUUCCGCCAGUAAAUUCCAGCAGCUCAGCCCCCAGAUUGGAUCGGUAUUCCAUUGAAGAUGAAAUGUCAACUUCAUUAGUUGAUACAAGUUACAGCAGCAACUAUCCAGCCCAGGCAUAUUGACAUGAAUGGCGGUUUAGCAUGGCAUCUUAGCAUGAUUGGAUAUUCUCUCCCAUUGACACCAAGAGGACUCUGCUUGUCUUUUGUGUAUAGUUUAAAUAGAAGUUUUGCUUCUUAAUCAAAGUCACAGCUUCUGAACCUUGUGAAUUUGAUAGGGAGGUUGCAAUUGGAAGAUGGAGUUUGCAUGAGUCACAGCCUAGUUCCAUGAGAGGAACAUGAAAAGAUGUAAUUUUUUUUUUUUUAACACCCAAAUCUUGGCUCUUUGGAGAAAAUAAACCACUCUUGUACUAAUAUAUUUUUCUGAUGUAUACCAAAGGUUCAU